GACGAACGCUGGCGGCGUGCCUAAUACAUGCAAGUCGAACGCAGUGGGGACGGGUGAGUAACACGUGGGUAACCUCCCAUCAGAGGGGAUAACACUUGGAAACAGGUGCUAAACCGAUACUGAUGGAUGGACCCGCGGUGCAUUAGCUAGUUGGUGAGGUAACGGCUCACCAAGGCCACGAUUCAUAGCUGACCUAAGAGUGUGGUCGGCCACACUGGGACUGAGACACGGCUCAGACUCCUACGGGAGGCAGCAGUAGUGAAUCUUCGGCAAGGAACGAACGUGUGACCGAGCAACGCCGCGUGAGUGAAGAAGGUUUUCGGAUCGUAAAACUCUGUUGUUAGAGAAGCGGUAUCUAACCAGAAAGCCACGGCUAACUACGUGCCAGCCGCCGCGGUAAUU
rnacentral:rRNA from 1 species